UGGAGGGAGCAGCCACACAAAAGCUACCGAACUGAGCACCUUGACAGAGGUGGUGAGCCACUUCUUCGGUGGCAAUGGGCCACUUAACUGCAAAUAUGCUUCAGAGAGGCAUCGAAUGAUUAACGAAAAGGCAGCAUAAUCAAAGCAGACCAAAGCAGUACCUGGCUUUGCAGUUUCUCCACGAGAGAAGCAUCCAUAUCUGGAUUCGAUUGGAGCGUUGUGUUGGCGGAGUGCUUGAGCAGGACGAGUUUCUGGAAUGAGUGCACCCUUUCCGAGCCAGCGAGGUCAACCAGAUGGAAUUUCGCCACCAUUAUGGCACCACCACUGGACUU
rnacentral:lncRNA from 1 species